CCUACGGGAGGCUGCAGUGAGGAAUAUUGGUCAAUGGGCGCGAGCCUGAACCAGCCAAGUCGCGUGAGGGAAGACGGUCCUAUGGAUUGUAAACCUCUUUUGUCGGGGAGCAAAAGACGCCACGCGUGGCGUUCCGAGAGUACCCGAAGAAAAAGCAUCGGCUAACUCCGUGCCAGCAGCCGCGGUAAUACGGAGGAUGCGAGCGUUAUCCGGAUUUAUUGGGUUUAAAGGGAGCGUAGGCGGAUUGUUAAGUCAGUUGUGAAAUUUUGCGGCUCAACCGUAAAAUUGCAGUUGAAACUGGGAGUCUUGAGUACAGUAGAGGUGGGCGGAAUUCGUGGUGUAGCGGUGAAAUGCUUAGAUAUCACGAAGAACUCCGAUUGCGAAGGCAGUUUACUGGACUGCAACUGACACUGAGGCUCGAAAGUGUGGGUAUCAAACAGGAUUAGAUACCCGUGUAGUC
rnacentral:rRNA from 1 species